rnacentral:lncRNA from 1 species
UCAGAGCUCCUCAAUUCCCAUCUGAGGUUCUUUGAGAUGAAAAUGUCUUUGUUCUAAUCUAUCUUCCUUCUGCUAUAGGUGAAUGCAACAGUCCCAUGUUUGAAAUACAUCUUGUCCUGACAUUAGACUAACAUGAGGACCUUCACAUAAAGUAAAUCCCGUUGUGCAGAGGGGGGAAGCAAGAGUCUCGGUUGUUUGGUCAAAAUCCUAUACCAGGGCACAAAGUACAUUCAGGAAUUUUUUACCUUUGGGCCACUGAUGGGGAUCCUGGGCUAUGACAUUCUUCCUAAAAGGUGUAACACCAAAUUUGGCUAGAUGGGGGAGGAUGGAUGAAAUGAACUUUUAAGAAGACUUGCAGUCUGAAUGUAUUUUUAACUAAUGCAUUGUUAAGAGAUUUCCCAGUAGGUCUGGAUUCCUAGGGUUCAAAACUUCAGUGCAUUCCUGGAUAUUGACUGCAAAUCUCUAUUCUUGAUCAAUAGUAUAAUCACUUCUCUCUCCUAUCUAGCAGAUCAGGUUUUGGGUAAGACAAAUUGUCAGGCAAUACAAUUAGGAUAAAAAAUAUUUCUUGAAGUUGAAAAGAUAAAUCAAUAUCAAUAUGACUAAAUUGAGCAGGGACACUCCCUCCCAACCUCCUUAGUGCCAGUCCCUUUCCUAGUGGAAGGACUUUUAAGAAUUUACUACAUAGGGUUUAAGCUUGGAAUUUUUCUUAACAUAUGCCAUACACACUUUCCUAUGUCAUUAAAUGUUACUCAGAAAGAUCAUUUUCACAGACAUGAUGUUCAAUCUUACAUAUAUGCUGAAAAUCUUACAUAUAUGCUGUAGUAUAUUUAACAUUCCCCUACUUUAGCUACGUAUAUUGUUUCCAUUGUUUAAUCUUAUAAUGUUACAAUGAUUACCCUUUCAUAUUAAAAAUAACAGGAACAAUGUCAGGCAUUUAUUUAGGCUCAAAGGCAAUCACAAAAUUAUAGUUUCUCUUUGUCUAGUUUCCCAGCAAUUUCUAGGGUGGGAGGAGAUCUAGAACGUUUUGGUUGCUCACAAAUGCAAUUAUUUCCUAACAGCGUGGCCAGUAUGUUGUUCAAGUAUGGCAAACACUGGCACCCUAUUCAGAUCAGGGAGACAUUCGUUCACUGUUCUAUGCUCUGUGCUAGGCACAUUAUAUUUGAAAUACUAUGCCUGUUCCAGAUACCACCCUUCAUAAGCAACAUGGACCAACAUUUAGAGGAGAUCAAUAAAAUCUUGUAUUAUCAAUGAGUAAUGGCUGAGAGAAGGGAGAGGUUUAACCUUGAGGAAGAGAUCAGCCUAAGGUUAUGAGACCAGAGAUUUCAAAUACAGGAAAGAACAUUCUGGAGAAGAAGAAUUUAGAUUUACCCCCAUGCUUGAAAGCUAUAGGAGGAUUUCAGAGGAUGUGGCCUAGAACAAUUUAGAAAAUAAUAAAAGGAAAGCUAGUGACACCCUAUGGACUUUGCCAGAUUGCCUCUUCCCAUCUGAGGACUGUGAGGUUGGAAGAGCAGGGUUAAGUUAGAGAUGGCCUAGAUAUGAAACAGCUGGCUCCUCUUCUUGGCCAAGGUUCCAUCCUUGCCUCUAGCCACCUUCUAUACUUACCUCAGGCAAGUUCAUCUGCCUCCAAGUCUUUAACACCCACUUAUCCAAACAUGAUUUUCCCAUCUACAUCUCCAGCCCUUGCCUUUCUUCUGAGCUCCAUUACUAUCUGGAGAAGAGUCAUCACAGUUUAACUGUGAUGGAGGGGCACCUGGGUGGCUCAGUGGUUGAGCCUCUGCCUUUGGCUCAGGUUGUGUGUCUCUGGAUUGAGUCCCACAUGCCCUGCAGGGAGCCUGUUCUCCCUGUGCCUGUGUCUCUGCCUCUCUCUGUAAAAUAAAAUCUUUUUUUUUAUUUAUUCAUGAGAGAGAGAGAGAGGCAGAGACACAGGCAGAGGGAGAAGCAGGCUCCAUGCAGGGAGCCCGACAUGGGACUCGAUCCCGGGUAUCCAGGAUCACUCCCUGGGCUGAAGGCGGCGCUAAACCGCUGAGCCACCCAGGCUGCCCAAAUAAAUAAAAUCUUAAAAAAAAAAAAAAAAAAAAAAACGUGAUGGAUCAAAAUCAAGAUGUAUCUCCCUGUCUUCAUUAGUUAGGACUCUUGAUUGCAGGUGUCGAAACUCAACAGUAACUACCUGAGGCAAAAGUGUAAUUUAUUGGCUCAUGUUAACCAAACUGUAGGACGGGCAGGAAUCAAACUAGCAUCAGGGAUGCCUGGAAUCAGGGACUGAAAGGCCAUCAGAACUCACUUUCCUUCUGUCUCUCAUUCCGGCUUCUCUCCACAUGUUAGUUUCCAUUUUUCUCUACUGAAGACCAACUUCUCUCACAGAUGAGACAUAACCACUGGAAUCUCUGUAUUUACAACUUCACAGACUCAUCAUCAGAAAAGAAAAGUUCCUCCCCUUAGUGCCAAUUCAAAAUUCAGAAUUAUCAAGGAAGGUCUCUGGGUCACACGUUGACCAUGUUGACCAAACACUCAGAUAAGAUGAAGAGAAUAAGACAGUAGGACUGGACCAGCAUGCAUCUGGCAUGCAUCCACCAGAACAAUCAUUAUAGCUAAGGAAAUGGGGUCACAUUAAAAAAGAAAAAGAAAAAAAAAGAAAAAAGAAAGGCAGCUCUCAUUAGGUUCAUGAAUUCACAUAGGGCAGAGGUAUUCACAGGUAUGUCUGCUGUUCCCAGGAAAGGGGCAGCAUACAGUAGACAAAACAUUAAUGCCCACUGCAUUCUCCAGCAAUGGUCUGUCUCCCAUAUUCUUCAUCCCUACCAAUGACAUCACUUCUCAUCCAGUUUUGCAAACUGUGCCUCAGCUUCUUAAAAACUUUGGUCAAUUCCUCAAAGAUCCACAUUCCUUAGCUUAGAAUGCAAAUCCCUUCCCAAUCUGGCUCCAACCAACUUACCUUUUCAGACUUAUCUCUUUUAAUUCUGUUCCACUCCCACACUCUGCUUUCCUCACAACCACCGUGCUGUCACAUUUGCUUACUCUUCCUCAGACACACAGAUCCCAUCCAAGCUCUGCACAUUUGUCCACACAUUCCUCUUUGCCUGCAUUUUUUGUCCUUUCUCAUUUUUGUCACCUUCAAGAUUAGGUAUAAUAUCUAGAAUAUCUAGAAUUUUUGUCCUUAUUCUACCCUUCAGGCACAUCUUGUAUUUCCCAUGACAUAUUAAUUCAUCUGUCUGACAAGCACUUAUUACAUGGAAUUAUCAUUUAUUUGUUUAGGUACUUGUCUCCUCACUAGGCCAAGAGCUCUUGGAAGGCAAGGACUAUUCAUUGUUCAUCUUUUUUUUUUUUAAUUUUUUUUUAAAUUAUUUAUUUAUGAUAGUCACAGAGAGAGAAAGAGAGAGAGGCAGAGACACAGGCAGAGGGAGAAGCAGGCUCCAUGCACCGGGAGCCCGACGUGGGAUUCGAUCCCGGGUCUCCAGGAUCACGCCCUGGGCCAAAGGCAGGCGCCAAACCGCUGCGCCACCCAGGGAUCCCUCAUUGUUCAUCUUUGAAGUCAGUCCUAGCAAAGGGCCUGGAAUGUGAAUGGCUAUCAUCUGACACAUAGUGGAUGGUCAAUAAAUGUAGAAUAACUAAAGCAAUAAUUAACAUUUUCUAACUUAUAGAAUUCAUUUGGUAGUUUUAAUAACUGAAACCACAUAUUACCGAAACUAAGGCUUUGUUUUUUUUUUUGUUUUUUGUUUUUUUUAGGAAAUGAGAGUUAAUUAAGAGAUAAUGAGUGGGCUCAUUUGUUUUCAUUAUUUCUACCCAAAAUACUUCAUUCACAUUUGCGAAAUGCUAUUGCAUUGUCCUCCAUCCAGUCAUAUGCUGAAUGUAUGUCAUGUUUUUGAAGGCUUUUCAGUGUUCUGUUAGCCCAAACUGUAAAUAGAUUUUCUCUUCCCUGGGUUCCAGAGUGCACACUGCACCACUGGCAAGAAAAUGAAUAUUGUAUCUGUGGAGCUGGCUAUACACUAAGCAAUUCACAUACCUGUUGGUUAGUCAUGGGUUCUCCCCCUAGGUGAAUAGAUUUCAAUAGCAAAGAUCCAAACAGUUGUGCAGUUUGUAACAAGUGAAUUGUAUUACUAAAUAAGAGCCUUUAUUUUUGAGUGAUAUGACUUUUGUCUAGGUCCUCAGAGUUUAUUCAAGAUUAUUCUUACCCCAUCCCUCUGCAAUUUGCUUUCCCACACAGGAGGUGAAGGCAUAAAAUACAGCUAGAGGCCUCCCACAAACCCAUCAUAUUCUCUGCUGUUGCCUCUUCCCCUCUGAGGGUUGUGAGGUUGGAAAAGCAGGGUAAAAUCAGAGAUGGCCCCAGACACCUCGGGGCAUUCCUCAAAAUCUAGAUUAUCUAUGAGGCUGUUUCCUGCUUGUGGAAGUCAUGUAUCCUGUGUGACAGCAGGGGGAAUACCUGAGAAGUAACAAGCUAGAUCACAUGGCUUCCUGUGGAAUCAUUCCUCUUAUUAGAAUAAACUGGACUCUCCAAGGUCAUCUGGUAAGAGGGUCAACUUUCUUUAAAACACCUCUGGCUACACUAAAAGUACCCUCAAUCUUUGCUAUUUUAGUAUAUUUUGCUUAUCAUUUAGCUUUCCCUUUAUUUUAGUAUAUUUUGCUUAAUAAUUAGUCUUCUGUCUACC